rnacentral:misc_RNA from 1 species
CUGUGGUGGGCGGCCCCUCGGGGCACGUCCUACCCGAGAUAGAACCCUUGCCUUUGAGUACCGUCCGUUUCCUCGGCAGGCUCGCCUGCCAACGGGGACCCAAACCAAACCUCUUGUAUUGCAGUAAACGUCUUAAAACAAAUAAAUCA